rnacentral:rRNA from 1 species
UAGGGAAUCUUCCACAAUGGACGCAAGUCUGAUGGAGCAACGCCGCGUGAGUGAAGAAGGUCUUCGGAUCGUAAAACUCUGUUGUUAGAGAAGAACACGAGUGNGAGUAACUGUUCAUUCGAUGACGGUAUCUAACCAGCAAGUCACGGCUAACUACGUGCCAG